rnacentral:rRNA from 1 species
GACGAACGCUGGCGGCGUGCCUAACACAUGCAAGUCGAACGGAAAGGCCAUGAGCUUGCUCGGUGUUCGAGUGGCGCACGCGGGUGUGUCACGUGUGUAUCACCUCCCUGACUGUGGGAUAACACCAGUAAACACGGGCUCUUAUCCCGUAUGAGCUCCUGCUGCGCAUUGUGGGAUAGUAAAAGUCGGCGGUUGGGGACGGACUCGCGGAUUAUCAGCUUGUUGGUGGGGUAGUGGCUUACCAAGGCGUCGACGGGUAGCCGGACUGGGAGGGUGACCGGCCACAUUGGGACUGAGGUAGGGGCCAGACUCCUACGGGAGGCAGCGGUGGGAAAUAUUGCGCAAUGGGCCGAAGGCUGAUGGAGCGACGCCGGGUGCGGAAGGACGGCUUUCGGGGUAUAAAGCGCUUGCGCGUGUGACGAAGAGUGAGUGACGGUAAUGGAUAAAGAAGCACCGGCUAACUACGUG